GGGGGAUGCUCAGCCACCCACAUCAUUGCCUCGGGGUAUAAAAACCUGACUGGCACAUGAGAGGCACACUCCACAGAGGGGCCUGACCAGUGAACACAUCCCUACAGCCGCUUCUCUCUCUCGCUCCUGAUCUGUGAACGUAUCACCUGCCGAACCUUCUACUCAGCUGUUGUCAUCUGCGUCACUGGUGACUUCUACUUGUUUAUAACUCUCGUGUCUUCCCGCCAUGGUCGCUUGCAGGACGAUGUGGUCGUUGGUGGUGGUGGUCGUGGUGGCGAGUCUGGGCUCGUCUGGUGUCCAUGGACGGUCCGUAGAAGGGUCGUCGCGACUGGAACAACUCCUGUCGUCUGGGUCGUCAUCGUCGGAACCUCUCAGCUUCCUCUCCCAAGAUCACAGCGUCAACAAGCGACAGGUGUUCGACCAGGCUUGUAAAGGCAUAUACGACAGAGCCAUCUUCAGGAAGCUUGAACUAGUGUGUGAUGAUUGUUACAACUUGUACCGCAAGCCCAAGGUCGCCACCACCUGCAGGGAUAACUGCUUCGCUCACUCCACAUUUAAAUAUUGCGUAGUGAAUCUGGGACUCGACCUUGAACUGUUCACUUACCUAAGCGACAUGAUACGAGGGUAACCUCUGGCGUCCGAGGGUAUCUGUAUGGAUACCUUACAGGAUGGACGGAAUUUCCAAGAGUGAUUCUCAUGGGAAAACUGCUAUGCCAAUUCCGUAUUUCGUCAAUGCCUCGACGACCUUCUCUUGAUAAAUGUUGUUGACGAGUACAUCUCCGGCGUCCAAAUUGUCGGCAAGUAAGGUGACAGGUCUGUCACCCCGAGGGAAAGAGUACCCUUUGCCAACCAUACGUUCCCACCUACACCAGCUCUACGAUGUGCCCUGCUGCAUCUACCUUUACGACUUGUCCCUCCUCAACCACCAGUACGACUUGGCCCCCUUAUCUACCAGAAGAUCUUUGCCCCCGCAUCCAUCAGUACGACUUGGCCCCCCUCAUCCACCAGUACGACUUGGCCCCCUUAUCCACCAGAAGAUCUUUGCCCCCGCAUCCAUCAGUACGACUUGGCCCCCUCAUCCACCAGUACGACUUGGCCCCCCUCAUCCACCAGUAGGACUUGUUCCCCUCAUCCACCAGUAGGACUUGACCCCUCCAUCCACCACAAGUCCCACGACGAAGAGCAGGAACUAAUAUCUUCCUGAUUAACAUCUCUACGACUCUGGCCAACUGGGUACGAUUCUGGGCAUGAACACCUCUGGGUAUCUCCUGACACUUUAGGCAUAUGUGGACACCACCUGGACACGUUUCUAAGUCAAUUACCGGUAAACCUCACUUCAAAUAUAUGUGAAAAAUCUUCAGGCUCAUACCAAUCAAUUUUUAGGACGUCCAGAGGUGGUUGUAGUUGCCAAGAGGCAUGCUUGGGUGUCCGUGGGUGAACUGUGGACACCUAUGGACACUGAAGCAUCAACAGAUGCUCAAAAGUUCCUCGGUGCUCGCCACAAGAGUAGACGGCCCAUUUGAACCUCCAAGCCUUUUACGAGAACUUUACCAGAGAUUUUUUUUACUUGGAAUUUAAGUCCCUGCUCUCUAUUUCUGAAGACAAUGCUUCCUUGAGACACUAACAGAUCUGACUGGGAUCACUGUCGACUCGUCAUGGCAUUACUGUGUCCCUGGCGUCAUUGUGACAUUCCUUAUAGCAGGUGCCAUGGCAGCUAUUGUAAUGCCAACUGUCGCCAUUCCAUUGUGUAAUAUUAGUAUUUAUUUAACCCACAUUAAGGAGUUACUAACUUAUAAGUUUGAGAGAGAGAGAGAGAGAGAGAGAGAGAGAGAGAGAGAGAGAGAGAGAGAGAGAGAGAGAGAGAGAGAGAGAGAGAGAGAGAGAGAGAGAGA
rnacentral:misc_RNA from 1 species